rnacentral:rRNA from 1 species
CAGUAGCCGCGGGAAUACGAAGGGGGCUAGCGUUGCUCGGAAUUACUGGGCGUAAAGGGAGCGUAGGCGGACAUUUAAGUCAGGGGUGAAAUCCCAGAGCUCAACUCUGGAACUGCCUUUGAUACUGGGUGUCUUGAGUGUGAUAGAGGUAUGUGGAACUCCGAGUGUAGAGGUGAAAUUCGUAGAUAUUCGGAAGAACACCAGUGGCGAAGGCGACAUACUGGAUCAUUACUGACGCUGAGGCUCGAAAGCGUGGGGAGCAAACAGGAUUAGAUACCCCUGUAGUCCCUGUCUCUUAUAC